GAUGAACGCUGGCGGCGUGCCUAAUACAUGCAAGUCGAGCGAACAGACGAGGAGCUUGCUCCUCUGACGUUAGCGGCGGACGGGUGAGUAACACGUGGAUAACCUACCUAUAAGACUGGGAUAACUUCGGGAAACCGGAGCUAAUACCGGAUAACAUGUUGAACCGCAUGGUUCAACAGUGAAAGACGGUUUUGCUGUCACUUAUAGAUGGAUCCGCGUCGCAUUAGCUAGUUGGUAAGGUAACGGCUUACCAAGGCAACGAUGCGUAGCCGACCUGAGAGGGUGAUCGGCCACACUGGAACUGAGACACGGUCCAGACUCCUACGGGAGGCAGCAGUAGGGAAUCUUCCGCAAUGGGCGCAAGCCUGACGGAGCAACGCCGCGUGAGUGAAGAAGGUCUUCGGAUCGUAAAACUCUGUUAUUAGGGAAGAACAAAUGUGUAAGUAACUAUGCACGUCUUGACGGUACCUAAUCAGAAAGCCACGGCUAACUACGUG
rnacentral:rRNA from 1 species